rnacentral:rRNA from 1 species
AGGGGGACAACAGUUGGAAACGACUGCUAAUACCGCAUAAGCCCACGGCUCGGCAUCGAGCAGAGGGAAAGGGAGCAAUCCGCUUUGAGAUGGCCUCGCGUCCGAUUAGCUAGUUGGUGAGGUAAUGGCCCACCAAGGCGACGAUCGGUAGCCGGACUGAGAGGUUGAACGGCCACAUUGGGACUGAGACACGGCCCAGACUCCUACGGGAGGCAGCAGUGGGGAAUAUUGCACAAUGGGGGAAACCCUGAUGCAGCGACGCCGCGUGGAGGAAGAAGGUCUUCGGAUUGUAAACUCCUGUUGUUGAGGAAGAUAAUGACGGUACUCAACAAGGAAGUGACGGCUAACUACGUG